GUGGGGAAUAUUGGGCAAUGGGGGAAACCCUGACCCAGCAACGCCGCGUGAAGGGAGACGGUUUUCGGAUUGUAAACUUCUUUUAUCGGGGACGAAAAAAAUGACGGUACCCGAAGAAAAAGCCACGGCUAACUACGUGCCAGCAGCCGCGGUAAUACGUAGGUGGCAAGCGUUGUCCGGAUUUACUGGGUGUAAAGGGCGUGUAGGCGGGACUGCAAGUCAGAUGUGAAAUACCAAGGCUUAACCUUGGGGCUGCAUUUGAAACUGUAGUUCUUGAGUGAUGGAGAGGCAGGCGGAAUUCCUAGUGUAGCGGUGAAAUGCGUAGAUAUUAGGAAGAACACCAGUGGCGAAGGCGACUUUCUGGACGAAAACUGACGCUGAGGCGCGAAAGCCAGGGGAGCGAACGGGAUUAGAAACCCUAGUAGUCC
rnacentral:rRNA from 1 species